GACGAACGCUGGCGGCGUGCCUAAUACAUGCAAGUAGAACGCACAGUUUAUACCGUAGCUUGCUACACCAUAGACUGUGAGUUGCGAACGGGUGAGUAACGCGUAGGUAACCUGCCUGGUUGCGGGGGAUAACUAUUGGAAACGAUAGCUAAUACCGCGUAAUAUUAAUUAUUGCAUGAUAAUUAAUUGAAAGGUGCAAUUGCACCACUACCAGAUGGACCUGCGUUGUAUUAGCUAGUAGGUGAGGUAACGGCUCACCUAGGCGACGAUACAUAGCCGACCUGAGAGGGUGAUCGGCCACACUGGGACUGAGACACGGCCCAGACUCCUACGGGAGGCAGCAGUAGGGAAUCUUCGGCAAUGGACGAAAGUCUGACCGAGCAACGCCGCGUGAGUGAAGAAGGUUUUCGGAUCGUAAAGCUCUGUUGUAAGAGAAGAACGGGUGUGAGAGUGGAAAGUUCACACUGUGACGGUAUCUUACCAGAAAGGGACGGCUAACUACGUG
rnacentral:rRNA from 1 species